UAUUUCUCUCUAGUGUGUUGACGUAAAACUCUGUAACAAUUCUCAAAAAAUGUCUGUAGGAAGGGGUGAGUUUUGUCCAUAAUUUAUAUCUACCGUUGGCUGUAACUUAAAAUUCUGAAAAAAUUCUCAAAAAAUGUCUGUAUGGAGAGUAACAUCUGUGAUUAUUUGCAGAAUUUUUGGACACCUCCUUUAGGUUAAAAAAUUCACU